CCCUUAGAUGUUCUGGGCUGCACGCGCGCUACACUGAUGCGCUCAACGAGUUUUAACCUUGCCUGGAAAGGUUGGGUAAUCUUUUUAAAACGCAUCGUGAUGGGGAUAGAUUAUUGCAAUCAUUAAUCUUCAACGAGGAAUUCCUAGUAAGCGCGAGUCAUCAGCUCGUGCUGAUUACGUCCCUGCCCUUUGUACACACCGCCCGUCGCUCCUACCUAUUGAGUGAUCCGGUGAAUAAUUCGGACUGCGGCAUUGACCGGUUCCCGAUCGUUGCUGCGGAAAGUUUAGUGAACCUUAUCACUUAGAGGAAGGAGAAGUCGUAACA
rnacentral:rRNA from 1 species